UGGGGAAUAUUGCACAAUGGGCGAAAGCCUGAUGCAGCGACGCCGCGUGAGGGAUGAAGGCCUUCGGGUUGUAAACCUCUUUCAGCAGGGAAGAAGCGCAAGUGACGGUACCUGCAGAAGAAGCGCCGGCUAACUACGUGCCAGCAGCCGCGGUAAUACGUAGGGCGCAAGCGUUGUCCGGAAUUAUUGGGCGUAAAGAGCUCGUAGGCGGUUUGUCGCGUCUGGUGUGAAAACUCGAGGCUCAACCUCGAGCUUGCAUCGGGUACGGGCAGACUAGAGUGCGGUAGGGGAGACUGGAAUUCCUGGUGUAGCGGUGGAAUGCGCAGAUAUCAGGAGGAACACCGAUGGCGAAGGCAGGUCUCUGGGCCGCAACUGACGCUGAGGAGGGAAAGCAUGGGGAGCGAACA
rnacentral:rRNA from 1 species